GACGAACGCUGGCGGCGUGCUUAACACAUGCAAGUCGAACGGAAAGGCCCUGCUUGCAGGGUACUCGAGUGGCGAACGGGUGAGUAACACGUGGGUGAUCUGCCCUGCACUUCGGGAUAAGCCUGGGAAACUGGGUCUAAUACCGGAUAGGAGCCAUUUUUAGUGUGAUGGUUGGAAAGUUUUUUCGGUGUAGGAUGAGCUCGCGGCCUAUCAGCUUGUUGGUGGGGUAAUGGCCUACCAAGGCGGCGACGGGUAGCCGGCCUGAGAGGGUGGACGGCCAAAUUGGGACUGAGAAACGGCCCAGACUCCUACGGGAGGCAGCAGUGGGGAAUAUUGCACAAUGGGCGCAAGCCUGAUGCAGCGACGCCGCGUGGGGGAUGACGGCCUUCGGGUUGGAAACUCCUUUCGCUAGGGACGAAGCUUUUUGUGACGGUACCUAGAUAAGAAGCACCGGCUAACUACGUG
rnacentral:rRNA from 1 species